rnacentral:misc_RNA from 1 species
AUUAUUGUAGCUUUUGAGCUUGAUAUGAAUCCAAUAAAAGCAAAGAUCCAACAUAUCCAUAUCAAGUUAUGAUGACAUCAACAGAAUGGAUCCAAGAAAUCAGACGUUCCUUAGCUCAACGCACGAGUUAACAUAUCCAAGGUUUGCUCGACUUAUUAUUUAAUUAUUCCAAUAUCCGGUUUUACACAGGUGUAAUGUUAUAUUCUACGAUAUAUUCAAUGAUGACGAUAUAAAAAUUUAAAUAUAAAAUUAUAUAAAACGUCUAUACACUUCACUAAUAGCCUUUAUUGUUAGUAAGAAAGUCUGUGAGAGCACAAUAAAAAUUAUAAGAUAUUAUUUAGUUUUAUUAUUGAAUAAAUAAAAAAUAUGACUCAACAAAAUUUCAUCACAUCCAGUUUAAGUUGUUUUAUGAAGAUGAAGAACAAAAUGGCAAAUAAAAAGAAAAAAACUCCUGUCGACGAUGCUAAUCCUAUAAGCAAAUUAUUUUUUUGGUGGACAAUGAAAUUAUUUAUAAAAGGAUCUAAAAGAGGUCUAACAAUGGAUGAUAUAUGGCCACCAAUGGCAAGUGAUGAAUCAGAACAAUUAACGAACAAAUUAGAAACGAAUUGGAACGAAGAGUUAAGACAAUGUACAGAGAAGAAUAAAAUACGUCAAGAGAACACAGCCAAAAAAUAUAAACCAUUAAAACCGAGUCUCACAAAAGCUAUAUUCAAAACAUUCUGGCUUCGUUACUUUAUUAUCGGAAUAUUCUCACUUAUUCAAACAGCAGUUCUACGGAAUUUUCAGCCUAUAUUUCAAAGUUUAGUUGUUGAAUAUUUCAACGAAAAUGAUAAUAAUCCGAUGACACAAAAUGAAGUAUUGGGUUAUGCUGCUGGUCUUGUUGUUAUAACGUUUGCAGCGACGUUUAUAUUACAUCAUGCUUUUUUAGACAGUCAACAAAUUGGAAUGAGGGUCAGAGUUGCUUGUAGUUCACUUAUUUAUCGAAAGAGCUUGAAACUGAGUAAAGCGUCACUAGACAACACAGCAGCUGGUCAAGUAGUAAAUCUAAUAGGCAAUGAUGUACUUCGAUUUGAUCUGAUAUUUCUAUACCUUAAUUACAUAUGGAUUAUGCCCAUCCAGUUAGUUGUAGUUGGAUACAUCAUGUGGCAAAGCAUCAGAAUCUAUUCCCUAGUAGCCCUAGGAAGUCUUAUCAUCCUGACUAUUCCAGUCCAAACCUAUCUCUCAAAAAUAAGUGGCAACUUACGUGCUCUGAUAGCCAGGCUAACUGAUAGAAGAGUCCAAUUGAUGAGUGAACUAAUAGCUGGUAUCCAAGUGGUAAAGAUGUAUGCAUGGGAGAAACCAUUCAGCAAGAUAGUAUCUCAAACAAGGAAACUAGAGAUGGACAAGAUUCAUAAAUCGUCAAAUAUUCGUGGAUUUUAUACUUCAUUAUUUGUGAUAACUGAAAGAUUUACAUUAUUUUUAACUGUUGUUUCAUUUAUUGCUGCUGGGAAUUCAAUGACUGCUGAUAUUGUUUUUCAACUUUCAAGUUAUUUUAAUAUUCUACAAAUGGUGAUGGCCAUUUUUUUCCCUCUUGCUAUUAUUCUGGCUAGAGAAGCUUGGAUUUCUAUCAAAAGAAUCGAGGAGUUCUUGUUACUUGAUGAAAUAAAAAAAACCAUUGAAGAUCCAAAAAAAGUAAUCAAAUCAAUUAAACCUUAUCAAUUAAAGUCAGCCAAUACCACCACAUCAAAUGCAGUUUACAUUGAAUUAAAUCGAGUCUCAGCAAAUUGGAUAAGUGGCCAACUACCAGCAACACUCAAUGACGUAUCAUUAAAAAUAAAAAAGGGAGAACUAUGUGGUCUAGUGGGACCAGUUGGUUCUGGUAAAUCAUCACUACUAAACCUACUUCUUCAAGAACUUCCAGUUGGCUCUGGAGUAGUUGGACUAUUUCAACACAGUAAUGAACAAGAUAUUGAUUUACAAUCAAAGCGAGGGUUUUUCCAGGAUAAUUCUGGACUCAAGAUAUCAUAUGCUAGUCAAGAUCCUUGGCUUUUCACUGCUACAGUACGAGAGAAUAUUCUUUUUGGGCAGGAUUAUGAUCAAGUACGAUACCAAGAGGUAACAAAAGCAUGUUCUCUGAUAAGAGAUUUAAAACAAUUUCCUAAUGGAGAUAUGACAAUAGUUGGUGAAAGAGGAGCAUCAUUAUCGGGCGGACAGAGAGCAAGGAUCAAUCUAGCUAGAGCUAUCUACCGACAAGCUGAUGUUUAUCUUCUUGAUGAUCCCCUGAGUGCUGUGGAUGCUAAAGUAGCAAGACGUUUGUUCAAAGACUGUAUUCUCAAAUAUCUCAGUGGAAAAACUAGAAUUGUAGCUACUCAUCAGAUCCAUCAUCUUAAAAAGGCUGACAUUAUUGCUGUCAUGGAUAGAGGAAUGAUUAGAGCGCAAGGAAACUUUGAAAUCUUAACAAAAACCAGUGUAGAAUUCAAUGACAUGCUGAAUCGUCUGAAAGAUGAAGAAAAAGAUGACGAAGAUGUAGAAGUGAAUGAGUUUAAUGACAAAGAACAGUUUCAGGAGAAAAACUACUUUUUUAGAAGGAUAUCAACCAGAAAUUCUAGAGUUUCUGUCAGAUCUCAAGAUAGUUAUCAAUUUAUGACAUUCGAAGAAUCAUCCAAAGCAGAACAAGAAGCUCAAGAUAGUAUAGAAUCUGAACCCAUGGAAACUGGAAAGAUCUCCAAUAAAGUCUACUUCAAGUAUUUCAGAUCAGGUGAAAGUGUUAUUAGUCUCAUCUGCUUCAUUUCUAUUUACGUGAUAUCCCAGGUAGCAACUAGUGGAGCUGACUAUUGGUUAACAUAUUGGACCAACUUGGAGUCAAUAAAAACUUGUCUGAACAACUCCCAGCGAGCUUGCAAAUAUACCAAAAGCCAAUAUGAUGCACUAGUCAAUACUCCAUUAUUCACAUCACUACCGUUUCUUGAUGAAAAGGGGUACCUACAUACAACCCAUGCUAUUUAUAUUUAUACAGUUUGUAUAGUCACUUGUAUUAUUUCCAUUAUAUGGAGAAGUUUGUACUUUAUGAGAAUCUGCACCAACGCCAGUCAAAAUCUUCAUGAUAACAUGUUUAUUAAUAUUCUUCAGACUACGAUGUAUUUUUUCAAUACUAAUCCGUCAGGAAGAAUUUUAAAUCGAUUUUCAAAAGAUACAGGAACAAUGGAUGAAAUAUUGUCACGUGCAAUGUUAGAAGGAGUUCAAAUAUUUGCAGUGAUGACAGGAAUUUUAAUAUUAAUUAUCGUCGUUAAUGUAUGGAUGAUAAUACCAAUACUAAUUAUAGGGAUAUUCUUUUUUAUUUCACGUGAUUAUUAUUUACGUACUGCUCAAGAUAUCAAAAGAUUGGAAGGAAUUGCAAAAAGUCCAGUAUUUUCGCACAUAACAGCAACCCUAAAUGGUUUAACAACAGUUCGAAGUAGUGGUCAUGAAGUAGAAGUGAUGUUACGUAAAAGAUUCGACCAGUUCCAAGAUGCUCAUUCAGGAGCUUGGUACUUACUCAUAGCAACCUCAACUGCCUUUGGAUUCGCUGUGGACAUUGUUUCAUGUAUAUUUGUAUGCUGUGUUUGCUUUUCACUUAUUAGUAUUGGUCCUGAAAAUAUGACUGGAGCUGCUGUUGGUCUAGCAAUAUCUCAAGCUUUAAUUUUAACAGGAAUGGUUCAAUAUGGAGUAAAACAAAGUACUGAAGUGCAAGCUCAAAUGACGAGUGUCGAAAGAAUAUUAGAAUACACUAAUUUACCUAAAGAAGAUUCGGGAAAUACUCAACCAGCACCAGAAAGUUGGCCUUCUGAAGGAAGAAUUGAAUUUAAAAGUGUCUUUCUGAGCUAUAAAAAAGAUGAUCCGGCAGUAUUAAAGGACAUAAACUUGGUGAUAGAAUCAGGCUGGAAAGUAGGAGUCGUAGGUAGAACAGGCGCAGGAAAAUCAUCACUAAUAACAGCUCUAUUUCGUCUGGCGAAUGAUGGACUAGUUGGAAAAAUAAUAAUAGAUGGUGUUGAUACGAAAGAUAUUAAUUUAGAUGAUCUCAGGUCAAAUUUAUCAAUAAUACCUCAGGAACCAGUUCUAUUCUCUGAAACUCUACGUUAUAAUCUUGAUCCUUUCGGCAAAUAUACCGAUGAUGUGAUAUGGGAUGCACUUAAAGAAGUUGAACUGAGUGAUUUAAUUCUUGAUCAAAAGGUCACUGAAGGUGGUACCAAUUUUAGUGUUGGUCAGAGACAGUUAAUUUGUCUUGCUAGAGCUUUGUUGAGGAAUAAUAAGAUUUUAGUACUUGAUGAAGCUACUGCUAAUAUUGAUUCACGUUUUUUAGAUAUGAGUAGAUCAAAUGAGAUCUAAAAAAUGGCAAAAAUGUGGAUCUGUGCAGAUAUAUUCUAUUUUUUCGCGGCUAGUAAUAAUAUCAACACUGCAAAUCCAAGUGUUUGCAAAUAUUAAACAGCAUAAAUGAACUAUGGAAAUUUUUGAUUAUAAGUAUAAGCAUCAACUUAUAAGAUUUAUAAGUUUGAUUAUGGUGAUCAACAUUGUAAACAUUUAGGACUGAUGCUUUAAUUCAAAGAGCAAUUCGUUCUAAAUUCAGUAAUUAUACAGUAAUUACAGUAGCACAUCGAUUAAAUACUAUCAUUGACAGUGAUCGCGUUUUAGUGAUGGAUGAUGGUCGUGUGAA